AUGGAGGCCGGAGGCCCGGAGGUGGCUCGGUCGGCGACUGUUUGCAAGCGGAUUGCGUGGUGGCUCCUUGUCGGGAUGGUGGUCUGGGGUAGCGUGGUCUGGGCAGUGCCUUCAGGAUGCUCUGGGCUUGCGCUGCCGGUGGUGCUCCGGCUAGUUUUGUGCGGUGCAGCAAGUAGCAUCUGCUGCUCCGAUCUGGUGGUGGUGUGUUGGAGACGUCGUCCCAGCAUAGGUGCUCGGUUCCCUGACGAAAGUCAUGCUCAACUACGGUUUGGGCUGAUGGCGAAUGAUGCCUUUGGGUGUGAUUUUCCUUGUUGA
rnacentral:rRNA from 1 species